rnacentral:rRNA from 1 species
UGGGGAAUUUUGGACAAUGGGCGAAAGCCUGAUGCAGCAACGCCGCGUGAGGGACGACGGCCUUCGGGUUGUAAACCUCUUUUAGUAGGGAAGAAGCGAAAAGUGACGGUACCUGCAGAAAAAGCACCGGCUAACUACGUGCCAGCAGCCGCGGUAAUACGUAGGGUGCGAGCGUUGUCCGGAAUUAUUGGGCGUAAAGAGCUCGUAGGCGGUCUGUCGCGUCUGCUGUGAAAACCCGAGGCUCAACCUCGGGCCUGCAGUGGGUACGGGCAGACUAGAGUGCGGUAGGGGAGAAUGGAAUUCCUGGUGUAGCGGUGGAAUGCGCAGAUAUCAGGAGGAACACCGAUGGCGAAGGCAGUUCUCUGGGCCGUAACUGACGCUGAGGAGCGAAAGCGUGGGGAGCGAACAGGAUUAGAUACCCUGGUAGUCCACGCCGUAAACGUUGGGCGCUAGAUGUGGGGACCAUUCCACGGUUUCCGUGUCGCAGCUAACGCAUUAAGCGCCCCGCCUGGGGAGUACGGCCGCAAGGCUAAAA